rnacentral:rRNA from 1 species
UACGGAGGGUGCGAACGUUAAUCGGAAUCACUGGGCGUAAAGCGCGCGUAGGCGGUCCGUUAAGUGGGAUGUGAAAUCCCCGGGCUUAACCUGGGAAUUGCAUUUCAAACUGGCGGACUAGAGUGCGGUAGAGGGAGGUAGAAUUUCCUGUGUAGCGGUGAAAUGCGUAGAUAUAGGAAGGAAUACCAGUGGCGAAGGCGGCCUCCUGGAUCGACACUGACGCUGAGGCGCGAAAGCGUGGGGAGCAAACAGG